GUCUGCCUGUUCCCUUUUUGUAUAACCAUCAUGGAUGCCCUUGAUAGGUUACCUCUGGUAGCAGAGAGAAUGUUCCAGCCCUGUCUGAGGUCCCCAUUGGCUUCCUCUGGAGAGAAUUACUCCAAACCCGCCCUGGAAAGGAAGAUGAACAUAGAAGCAGAAGCCAGGGAGUUGCCAUGAUUAAAGGAAAUUUAUUCAUUAGAAACCCUCUGAUACUGAUUGCAAACUAA